GAUGUUGGAGAUGUGGACAGCAGACUGGCUGGAGGAAUCGCAGUGAUGAUCCUGUUAAUGUUUUUAUCAGCUCUUCUGAUUCUGCUGCUGCGAACAAUGAAGAGUCAACGUUCACCGACAGACCCUGAAGGGCACAUCGCUCUGGAACAACCUGACGAGACCGUGAGCUCUCUGGACAUCUCCCUCAGUCAGGGGGAGUCGUCCUCUCGGUCCGAGGGAUUACAUGGUGUCUACACCAGGAGACUCUCUGCUCUUCAUCCUCCGUCAUCAUCAUCCUCUGUCAAACAUGAAGCAGCAGGUUGUCUCAGAUCAUGUGACAUCACAGCUUUUGGCCUGUCCACAGGUGUUCAAGUUGACCAAUCAGAGGAGACGUUACAUGAGCAGAAUGAUUGUCAGCAGCCAAUCAGAGACCAGAAACAAAUAAAUGACUGAUGUGGAAUCUGA